UCUCGAUGUUGGAGAUAACGUCGCUGCUCAGCUCGCCGAUGUCCACGUCGCGGAAGUCGAUGGGGGGCUGUCUGCCCCCCUCUGGCAAGGGGCGCCCCUCUCGCUUCAGUGAGGACACUAUCACAAGAUCCAAAUCGAUGUCCUUCCGGGAGAAUUUUUUAAGAUCUUGUUUUCUCUCGUUGUCUUCGGAAGAAGCCCGACAUUUCUUAUAGGAAAUGGAACUCUUCAUAAGGUUCAUCUCAAAGAUCUCUCUUUGCAUAAUGUGUGUGUGGACCUGCCUACAGAUAUAUCGGGUGGAAGCCCUAGGAGCCUCAAGCAAGUCUGAAUAUUGGCCCUGAGAACCACUGUUCUCAUUAUCAGCAAGGAUUUUAUCUGGAGACCUCUAGGAAUACAUUCACUAAAAUGCAACUGUGGUCCUGCGGUUGUAUGAACUCUGGCUCUUCUCGUGAAUUACAUUUCACUGGAGUCAGGUGUUUUCUGUAAACAUCGUUAAACCACGAGACCAACUGCAUUGAACAUUUUUUGCACUACAUUGUUUUAUUUCUUGCUCGUUUUUUCCUUGCAGAGCUGGGGCUGGGGUGAGGUGUGUGGUGUACCUAGCCCUCAAAGUGUAAGGAUUCUCAGAGUCACACAGGUGCAUGGUCAGCACCUGAGAGUAAGCCACCCUUUAACAUUUUGCCUUCUAGGUGCUUCACUUGCCUUGCCCAAGCACUAGCCCUAGAUUAAAUAAUAUGUUUCCAUUAGUUUUUCAAAAUUAUAAUAUUAACAAUAACUAGCACUUAUUGAGCGCUCCCGUAUGUGCCAGUAAAUGUGACUUACAUGUAUCUGCUUAUUUUUCCUUACAUGCAACCCUAUGAAGUAGAUACAAUGGGUAUCAUCCCUAUUUCACAGACAAGGGAACUAAAACACUGGAAUGUUAAAUCAGUAUUUCAAGACUCAUCUAGGAAGUGCCAGAUCCAGGACUGGGAUCUGGGCCAUCUGAUUUUCAGCACUUGAUCUCAAACUUUCCACUAUAUACCUCUUCAAGGACAUUUUUGUCCAUGUGACAAGUAGAAAAAUUCCACAGCUAGUUUGCUGACCAGCCAAGUCAGAGCUUCCCUGACACCAGUGUAAUCGUAACACAUGGGAUUUGAAACUGUGGUCAAGAAUUUUCAGAUUAGCUCUCCAAUAAAAGAAACUUCAAAUAUCAAACCCCAGGGCAGUUUGUUUUCAUCAGGGUCUUUUAAAUGACUGAUUCUUGGACCAGCCCAUUGAUACAUUCAUUCAACAAAUAUUUAUUGGGACCCUCCUGUGUGCUAGAUAUCGUUCUAAAUGCUUAGAACACAGCUGUGAUUAAAUUAAUGCCCCUAUUUGUAUAGAGGUUACAUUCCAAUAGUGGGGACAGAUCAUAAGGAAACAAACAAACAUACAGUUUGAUGUCAUGAAGAAAAUAAAGCGGAUCUCGAGGGAAAGUGAGUGUUGGGUGGCCAGGAAAGACUUCUCUGAGGAAGUGGCAUUUGAGCAGGGUCUUGAGUGACAUGAGCAGAGAGAGAGAAUGGGAGCCUCACAUAGCAGUACUGUAGCUACUUUAUAAAUAAAUUUGUCCUAUUGUGUAUUUGACUUGACAUUUUAAAAAAGUACAAGAUCAACAUUGACGACAAUGUAGUCACGAGAAUGUCACUCACCAUGGCUUCAUGAGCUAUUUUCACCUCCUUGCUGUUGCAGGAGGGAGUAGGUGGGGUAGAUGGCCCAUGAAAAGAUUUGCUCCACGGGCAAAAUCUUCUGACUGGGGAUUUGAAGUCCGCUGAGUGAUGCCCUGUUUGUUCUUCUGAAUUAAAUUAGAAUUGGGCAGUC